rfam:Triticum aestivum genome assembly, contig: Triticum_aestivum_CS42_TGACv1_scaffold_130021_2BL
UAUGUACUCCCUCCGUCCAGAAAUACUCGUCGGAAAAAUACAUAAAAAUGGAUGUAUCUAAAACUAAAAUACAUUUAGAUACAUCCACUUCUCCGACAAGUAUUUCCGGACGGAGGGAGUACGUA